GUCUACGGCCAUGCCACCCUGAACAAGCCCGAUCCCAUCUGAUCUCAGAAACUAAGCAGGGUCAGGCCUGGUUAGUACUUAGAUGGGAGACCACCUAGAAAGACCAGGUGCUGUAGGUG
rnacentral:rRNA from 1 species